ACAAGCAACAGGACAGUAUGAGAUGUGAGCUGCCUAAACCUUGCAGGUUAGAAUUAUAUCCAUUCAUAGCGACAGACAGGAGAGUGAGACAGACAGGAGAGUGAAACAGACAGGAGAGUGAGACAGUCAUGGUUAUUAAUUAGAACUAGCAGAGAGCAGCAGGCAAGCCUGGAAAACCCCAGAGUUGAAAAAACUAACGAAAUGAAAGAGGAACAAAAGAGGGGAAGAAAAAACAAGUUAGAGGAGACUGUUAGAGGAGACUGUUAGAGAUGACUGUUAGAGGAGACUGUUAGAGGAGACUGUUAGAGGAGACUGUUAGAGGAGACUGUUAGAGGAGACUGUUAGAGGAGACUGUUAGAGGAGACUGUUAGAGGAGACUGUUAGAGGAGACUGUUAGAGGAGACUGUUAGAGGUGACUGUUAGAGGAGACUGUUAGAGGAGACUGUUAGAGGAGACUGUUAGAGAUGACUGUUAGAGGAGACUGUUAGAGGAGACUGUUAGAGGUGACUGUUAAGAGGUGACUGUUUGGUGGCAUUGUGAAGU